rnacentral:tRNA from 1 species
GCGCCUGUAGCUCAGUUGGAUAGAGCGCCUGGCUACGAACCAGGAGGCCGGGAGUUCGAAUCUCUCCAGGCGCACCA